GUGAAUCAUCGAAUCUUUGAACGCAAAUUGCACUCUCUGGUAUUCCGGAAAGGAUGCCUGUUUGAGGGUCAGUUAAAUUAAAAUCGGUGUUGUUGCUACCCGUAGUGGGGGGUGAUGGAUCGGAAGUGAGUCGUUCUUUGCCUUUGGUUUAAGUGACUUAAAAUUAUGUUCGAUUUUUGAACGUAUUUUAAUUGUUACUUACGUUCGUAAUGUCACAUAUUAGGUGCGGGCAUU
rnacentral:misc_RNA from 1 species